AGCGCACCCUUGUCCUUAGUUGCCANCACGUAAUGGUGGGAACUCUAAGGAGACUGCCGGUGACAAACCGGAGGAAGGUGGGGAUGACGUCAAGUCAUCAUGGCCCUUACGGCCAGGGCUACACACGUACUACAAUGGUCGGUACAGAGGGUUGCCAUACCGCGAGGUGGAGCCAAUCCCAGAAAGCCGAUCCCAGUCCGGAUCGGAGUCUGCAACUCGACUCCGUGAAGUCGGAAUCGCUAGUAAUCGCGGAUCAGCUAUGCCGCGGUGAAUACGUUCCCGGGCCUUGUACACACCGCCCGU
rnacentral:rRNA from 1 species